rnacentral:lncRNA from 1 species
AGACAGCAAAAUCUCACAAUCCUUUGCACAAUUAUUUCCAGUCCAAACUGACAGAAGCUCUAAAGUUCGGGUCCUUUCCUGCCUGCACUGCUGCUGAGCCUGGUGCAUAGAUUAGAAGUUCCUUUCCAAUAACAAGCAAAAUAAAAGAAGAACCAUACGAAGAAUCUAUUGCAAUUGUUACACUGGAAUUUAGUUAGCAGAGCUACAAAAACGCAAGUCCAAAUCCCAAGUAGCUAGUGGAGAUUUCUGAACAGUUCUGUACACCUUCACGUAGACAAUCCAGUGGAGCUAACAACCUACUGUAGCACUCUUUUGUGAUAGGCAAAUACCAUUCAUUUCCAUUUUCCACAGAAGAACUGCACUCCACAGAGCUUCAGCAAUGUAAACAAGGCCAGGUACAGCAUUACAGCUGUGGUUCAGGCAACAACAUUCCUUGUCCUCUGACACAACACUUACACAUCAUACUUGUAACACUACCUAGUUCAAGUUGGUGGUCAAUACCACCUAAUUAGCAGAGUAAAAGUGCAAUUUUGAAACCAACUUACAAAACUGCUACAACCAACCUACAAAACUCCAUCAUACCAAAGAAAAAUUAUGGCUCUAAAUUUCACAAUCACUCUCUGCCAACCAAAAACUCACCUUUAAGAAGAGUCAGGGCUGAAAGCUGAAAGUUGAGGCAGUCAUCUCUCAACGUGUAGAACUCCUCACGUUGCUACGAAGGUACAGCACGGUUGUUCAGUGUUUGGAUAAAGUACUGCAUGGGAACUGUUGAAUCACAGCCUGAACCACCAAUUGAUCACCUGAGGCAAGGACUGAAUCAGCUGUGGGAGCACAGGUGAAAGCAAUUCAGCUAUGUGACCAGAAGCUGUGUGACCACAUUCCACCCCUCCCAGACCCCAUUUAAGGGCUGACUAACACUGGGGAAGAAUCUCCUUGUGGUGAUCCCUCCUUUGUGGAGCUUUUCAGUGUGAGCCUAAAUCUUUGCAUACAGAGUUAAUGGAGACGCUCCAAACAGAGGAUUAAGUGGAAAGCAGAGUUUUGCAGCAACCUGAGAUAUUAAAAGGAAAACCAACUGACAGAGCAGAAAAAAAGACAGCCAACUUACGGCAACG